GUGGGGAAUCUUAGACAAUGGGCACAAGCCUGAUCUAGCCAUGCCGCGUGAUCGAUGAAGGCCUUAGGGUUGUAAAGAUCUUUCAGUGGGGAAGAUAAUGACUGUACCCACAGAAGAAGCCCCGGCUAACUCCGUGCCAGCAGCCGCGGUAAUACGGAGGGGGCUAGCGUUGUUCGGAAUUACUGGGCGUAAAGCGCACGUAGGCGGAACAGAAAGUCAGAGGUGAAAUCCCAGGGCUCAACCUUGGAACUGCCUUUGAAACUCCUGUUCUUGAGUUCGAGAGAGGUGAGUGGAAUUCCGAGUGUAGAGGUGAAAUUCGUAGAUAUUCGGAGGAACACCAGUGGCGAAGGCGGCUCACUGGCUCGAUACUGACGCUGAGGUGCGAAAGCGUGGGGAGCAAACAGGAUUAGAAACCCCUGUAGUCC
rnacentral:rRNA from 1 species